GACCGCGGCUGGUGGUAGGAUCUUGCAGCGGCGCUGGAGUGGCGGCGGAGAUGCACCGAAGAAGAGCUGCGGGUCGCCUGCCUUGAGGUUAUUUUGCCGGCGUUCAUACAGAGAUGCUACCGGCGACUUCCGACGACAAUCCCAAAGCUGGGUGGCGACACCCCCGAGCUCCUGCCGUCGGCUACCUCUCUGUCAUGCUGCUCGUGGCCACCUCCCCGACCAGCUACUGAUGGCAUUGCUUGCUACCGUGAAGAGCCUGAUCUAGGAUCAUCGAGGCACUGGAGCUAAUGGAUCACGGAUAGGGAGUAGAAGAUUCUAAAACAGGCAAAGCAAAGACUCGUUGGCACUGGAAAAAAUCUUCCUUACAAUAGUUGAUUCAAUGUACGAAGUACAUGAGAUUCUAUGAAAAGAAAUCAGCCGAUGGCUGUGUGAUUCAUCUAUAAUUAUUUAGCAAUGAUGAAGUAGAUUGCGCAAUCAGCCAGGGGAGAGGAAGAAUUACAUGGAUCGUGGCUGUCGUUCAUAGCUGCCGAUCAUGCCUGGUCCGUCCCUGGUUGCCGGGCGGACAACGGCGGCGCUCGGCGGCUUAUGUGUUUCCCGUCCGCUGCCCAAGAGUAACUAGGGAUUUGGUUUGACCCGAUUGAUUGAUCUGUUUGGUUGAUUCAUUAUGUCCAGCUAGGUUCGUUUCAGCCAAAGAGCGUAUGCAGUGUAUUUCACAAUGUAUUUUCGUGUUAAAAAAAUAAAUUGUUCUGUAAAAGGAGAAACAGGGCAAAUUAUAAAGAAAUUGGUCUAA